rnacentral:rRNA from 1 species
GAUGAACGCUGGCGGCGUGCCUAAUACAUGCAAGUCGAGCGAACAGACGAGGAGCUUACUCCUCUGACGUUAGCGGCUGACGGGUGAGUAACACGUGGAUAACCUACCUAUAAGACUGGGAUAACUUCGGGAAACCGGAGCUAAUACCGGAUAACAUGAUGAACGGCAUGGUUCAACAGUGAAAGACGGUCUUGCUGUCACUUAUAGAUGGAUCCGCGUCGCAUUAGCUAGUUGGUAAGGUAACGGCUUACCAAGGCAACGAUGCGUAGCCGACCGGAGAGGGUGAUCGGCCACACUGGAACUGAGACACGGUCCAGACUCCUACGGGAGGCAGCAGUAGGGAAUCUUCCGCAAUGGGCGAAAGCCUGACGGAGCAACGCCGCGUGAGUGAAGAAGGUCUUCGGAUCGUAAAACUCUGUUAUUAGGGAAGAACAAAUGUGUAAGUAACUAUGCACGUCUUGACGGUACCUAAUCAGAAAGCCACGGCUAACUACGUG